rnacentral:snRNA from 1 species
GAACGUGAUCUGGUAUUGGGAUCUGUCUCCCCAGUGAUCACCAAGGUUGUGUCACAUAAACUGGCUGGGUGGGCAUACCCCUCUCCUUCACCACUCCAUUUACUUUUCUCCCAAAGAUGUCCAUUCACUCUAGUUUGAAGACUAGACACAAACACAGAAUGCUGGAGGAGAAAGUCCAACCAGAGUUGAU